rnacentral:lncRNA from 10 species
AUUGCCAGGCAUGGCGGUGCAUGCCUGUAGUCCCAGCUGCCUGGGAGGCUAAGGCAGGAGGAUCGCUUGAGUCUAGGAGACAGAGGUUGCAGUGAGCCAAGAUCACGCCAUGCACUCCAGCUUGGAAGACAGACCCUGCCUUAAAAAAAAAAAAAAAAAAAUUUCUACAGCUAUUACCACCAUCCAUCUGCAGAAGUUAUUUCACCUUGUAAAACUGAAACUACCCAUUUAAUAAUGCUCCAUUCACCACCAACCCCCAGCCCCUGGCAACUACCAUGGUGCUUUCUCUAUGAAUCUGACUAUUCUAAAUACCUCAUAUAAGUAGAACUGUACAGUAUUUGUCUUUCUGUGAGUGGCUUAUUUCAUUUAGUGUCAUGUCCUCAAGAUUUACUCAUGUUGUUGUGCAUGUCAGAAUUUCCUCCCUUUUCAAAUCAGAAUAAUACUCCCUUCUAUGGAUGGGCCACAGUUUGCUUACCCAUUAUCUGUUGAUGCACUCUUGAGUUGCUUCCAUGUUUCAGGUAUUGUGAAUAGUGCUGCUGAGAACACAGGUGUAGAAAUAGCUCUUCCAGACUCUGCUUUCAGUUCUUUUGGGUAUUUACCCAGAGGUGGAAUUUCAGGAUUAUAGGGUAAUUCUACGGUUGAACUUUAUAGAAACUGGCCAUACUGUUUUCCAUAGUGGCUAUGCUAUACUAUUUUACCUUCCCACCAACAGUGGCUAUGCCAUACUAAUUUUACCUUCCCACCAGCAGUGCACAAGAAUUUCAGCUUCUCCACAUCCUUGCCAGCACUUGUUAUUUUUCUUUUUCCUUUUUUCUCUUUUAAGAGACAGGGUCUUGCUCUGUUGCCUAGGCUGGAGCGCAGUGGCACACUUAGAGCUCACUGCAGUCUCAAACUCCUAGGCUCAAGUAAUCUUCCCACCUCAGCCUCCCGAGCAGCUGGAACUACAAGUUCCAGUACCAUGACUGGCUAAUUUUUUUAUUUUUUGUAGAGACAGGAUCUCACUGUGUUGCUCAGGCUGGUCUCAAAUUCCUGGCCUCAAGCAUUCCUCCCUCCUCAGCCUCCCAAAGAACUGAGAUUACAGGCAUGAGUCACUGUGCCUGUUAUCCUUUUUUUCUCUCUCUCUUUCAUAGCAACCAUCCUAGUGGGUGUGAGGUCAUAUGUCAUUACGGUUUUGAGUUGCAUUUCCCUAAUGACUAGUAAUGUUGAGCACCUUUUCAUUUGCUUAUUGGCCAUUUGUAUAUCUUCUUUGACAAAUGUUUACUUGAACUCUUUGCCCAGUUUUGGAUUGGGUUCUUGUUGAAUUAUGAGAGUUUUCUAUACAGUAUAUUCUGGGUAUCAAUCCUUUAUUAGAUAUCUAAUUUAAAAAUAUUUUCGCCUGUUUUAUGAGUUGCCUUUUUACUCUGUUGAGAGUGUCUUUUGAUGUAUAAAAUGCUUUAAUUUUCAUGAAAUUCGAUUUGCCUCUUUUUUUCUUGUGUUGCUCGUGCCUUUGGUGUCAUAUCUAAGAAAUCACUGCCAAAUCCAAUGUUGUGAAGAUUUGGCCCUCUGUUUUCUUCUAAAAGUGUUCCAGUUUUAGGUCUUACAUUUAAGUCUUUGAUCCCUUUUGAGUUAAUUUUUAUAUAUGAUGUUAGAUAAGGGUCCAACUUCAUUCUUUCACAUGCGGUUAUGCAAUUUUACCAGCACCAUUUGUUGAAAUGACUGCCCUUUCCCUACUGAAUGGUGUUAGCACCUUUGUCAAAAAUCAUUUGACCAUGUCUAUGCAUUUUUAUUUCUGAGUUUUUUAUUAUAAUCUAUUGGUCUAUAAGUCUGUCUGUAUGCCAGUACCACACUGUUUUGAUUACUGUAGCAUUGUAGUAAGUUUUGAAAUGAGUAUGUGUGACGUCUUCCUGUUUUUUCUUCUUUUUCGGGAGUGUUUUGAUUAUUUGGGGUCUCAAGAUUCCACAUGAAUUUUUGGAUGGGUUUUUCUAUUUCUACAAAAAAUGUUGGGAUUUUGGUAGGGAUUGCAUUGAAUCUGUAUAUCAUUUUGCAUAGUAUUGUUGUCUUAAGUCUUCUAAUCCAGGAACAUGGGAUGUGUUUUUAUUUACUUAUGUCUUCUUUAUCUCAGCAAUGUUUUGUAGUUUUUUUUUUUUUUAGACGGAGUCUUGCUCUGUUGCCUAGGCUGGAAUGCUGAAGUGCAGUGGUAUGAUCUUUGCUCACUGCAACCUCCACCUCUCAAGUUCGAUCAAUUCUCCCAUCUCAGCCUCCUGAGUAGCUGGAAUUAAAGGCAACCACCACCAUGCCUGGCUAAUUUUUGUAUUUUUAGUAGAGACAGGAUUUCACUAUGUUGGCCAGGCUGGUCUUGAACUCCUGACCUCAAGUGAUCCACCUGCUUCAGCCUCCCAAAGUUCUGGGAUUACAAGCAUGAGCCACUGUGUCCAGUCAUCAGUGUUUUAUAGUUUUUAUUGUAUAAGUCUUUCACUUCCUUGGUUAAUUUCUAAGUAUUCUUUUUGAUGAUAAUGUAAAUGGAAUUUGAUUUGUAAUUUCCUUCUCAGAGUGUUGUUAGUGUAUAGAAAUGCAACUGAUUUUUGUGUGUUGUCUGUGUAUCCUGCCACUUUGCUUAAUUCAUUUAUUAGUUUUAACAGUUUUUUGUGGAAUCUUUCUGGUUUUCUACAUAGACGAUUGUAUCAUCUGACAACAGAGAUAAUUUAACUUCUUUUCUAAUUUGAAUACCUUUUAUUUAUUUUAUCUAACAGCUAUAGCUAGAACUUACAGGAAUAGUUGAAUAGAAAUGGCAAAAGUGGGCAUCCCUACCUUAUUCCUGAUGUUAGAAGAAAUGUCAUUCAACAUAAGUAUGAUGUUUGCUGUGGGUUUUUCAUACAUGGCCUUUACUAUGUUGAGGGACUUUCCUUCUCUUCCUAGUUUGCUGAGUUUUUAUCAUGAUAGGGUAUUGCAUGUUGUCGGAUGCUUUUUCUGCAUUAAUUGAGAUGAGCAUGUAUUUUUUUUUCAUUUAUCCUGUUAAUACGGUGUGUUACAUUGAUCGAUUUUCAUAUAUUGUACCAUCUUGCAUUCCUCCUACUUGGUAUGGUAUAUAAUCCUGUUGAUAUGCUGCUGGAUUAAUUUUGAUAGUAACCAUGUUACUAUAAUACUAGCUUUUAUAAUUGCCUAUGUAUUUACCUUUAUUGAGUUACUUGUUUCUUUAUUUGGCUUUGAGUUACUGUCUGCAUCCUUUCAUUUCACCAUGUAACAUCCUUGGACAUUUCUUGCAUGGCAGGUUUAGUGGUAACAAACUUCCUUAGCUUUUGUUUACCCAGAAAUGUCUUAAUUUGCAUCUCACUUUUAAAGGACAGUUUUGCCAGGAUUGGCCAAAAGAAUCAAGAAUCAGUAGGAUUCUUGAUUGACAGUUAUUUUUCUUUCAGUAUUUUGAAUAUGCAGAUAGUCCUCCACUUACAAUGGUUUGACUUAAGAUUUUUCUACCUUAUGAUGGUGUGAACGUGAUACACAUUCCGUAAAAACCAUACUUCAAGUACCUGUUCAACCAUUGUGUUUUUCACUUUCAAUACAAUAUUCAAUAAAUUACAUGGGAUAUUCAACGCUUAUAAAAUAGUCUUUGUGUUAGAUGAUUUUGCCAAACUGUAGGGUAAUGUAAAUAUUCUGACCAUGUUUAAGGUAGGCUAGGCAAAUUAUGACGUUCUGUAAGUUAGGUGUAUUAAGUGCAUUUUUGACUGAUAAUAUUCUCAACUUAUGCUGGGUUUAUCAGGAUGUACUGCCAUCAUAAGUUGAGGAGCAUCUUUAUUGGCCCACUGCUGUCUGUCCUCCAAAAUUACUGAUGAGAAAUCUGGGGAUAAUCUUAUUGACCAUCCUUUGUAUGUGAUGAGUUGCUUCUCUC